GGCAAGCAUGAUAGGAAAGGAGUUCUACACUUACAAAGUUAUGAGAGCGAACGUUCUGCUACUAGCAGAAUGAGAGUAGCAGAAUGAGAGUGAACAAGACUCAAAUAUAUUCUUAGAAUCACAUAGUAUUUUUCAUUUCAUAAGUUAAAAAAUUGAUUUUAAAAAUCAGGUUCUUGCACCAUGCAGCCAUCUGUUCUUUUAUGCAGGAUCAUACCUUUCCUAAACUAAUCCAUGUAUCACUAAAAGAAGCCAAAAUAAUGACAUUUGCCAUAUUUUGAGCUAGACUAAUUGACACCACUAAUCUUCAACAACUUCUAGUCAAGGCUGUUGUUUUAAUGAUGGUAUAGCACAAUUUCAGCUUUUGUUUCAGAGAAAAUACUAAUAACAGCAUGCGUCACAUUAUAGAUUUUCUGAGAUUUCUGAGAUUGAGAAAUGAAUUACUACUGUUUUUAUCUCUUUGAGUGGACAAACUCUUAAGAAUCAGAUAUUAUGGAAAAAGCAAAAUGUAAACAAUACCAUUUCCACUCUUGUUCAAGAUAAAGCAGCAACUCAUCA
rnacentral:misc_RNA from 1 species